GACGAACGCUGGCGGCGUGCUUAACACAUGCAAGUCGAACGAUGAAGCUGGAGCUUGCUCCGGUGGAUUAGUGGCGAACGGGUGAGUAACACGUGAGCAAUCUGCCCUUGACUCUGGGAUAACUGCGGGAAACUGUAGCUAAUACCGGAUACGAGAUUUGGAGGCAUCUCCGGAUCUGGAAAGAAUUUCGGUCAAGGAUGAGCUCGCGGCCUAUCAGCUUGUUGGUGAGGUAAUGGCUCACCAAGGCGACGACGGGUAGCCGGCCUGAGAGGGUGACCGGCCACACUGGGACUGAGACACGGCCCAGACUCCGACGGGAGGCAGCAGUGGGGAAUAUUGCACAAUGGGCGAAAGCCUGAUGCAGCAACGCCGCGCGAGGGAUGAAGGCCUUCGGGUUGUAAACCUCUUUUAGUAGGGAAGAAGCGAAAGUGACGGUACCUACAGAAAAAGCACCGGCUAACUACGUGCCAGCCGCCGCGGUAA
rnacentral:rRNA from 1 species